GGUUGUAGCUCAGCUGGUUAGAGUGCCGGCCUGUCACGCCGGAGGUCGCGGGUUCGAGCCCCGUCAACC
rnacentral:tRNA from 4 species